rnacentral:misc_RNA from 1 species
GUGGUGGAUGUGAAAUCUGAGAAGGCGAGCAAGUCGCCGUCUCCAAGUUCAUCAAAAAAGUCUAAGAGGCCGACUCAAUCGGAUCUAUCAACCAAAUCAAGCCCCAAGAACAAUGGAAACGCUGACAGUAGUGCUACAAAACCGCCCACCGGGCGCAUAAAGAAGAUGAAAAAUUCAACUACUGAAACUGAAGAUGCAGAUGCGGCAUCGGAUAACCCCGAUCUCGGGCCUUU